rnacentral:tRNA from 1 species
GGAGGAUACAGCUCAAGUGGCAGAGCACAUGCUUAGCAUGCAUGAGGUCCUGGGUUCAAUCCCCAGUACCUCCU